rnacentral:rRNA from 1 species
GGGGGUGUGAAGGGUCGCGCCAUGGAAGGUGUAGCAGGGAUGUUGAAGGGGCUAAAGUUGUCAGAUGAGGAGAAGAAAGGAGUGAAGGUUCGAAUCUCGAUGAAGGAGAAAGGGAAGGGGACAGGAGAUCAUGCAGUGGGCAAGGUACUGACGGAGAAGAUUGUGCACCCAGAUGCGAUCCGGCUAUCCCUCGGCAAGGUGUGGUGCCCGAUCAGAGGGGUUGACUGCAAGGAGGCAGGUGAAAAUCGCUUUAUCUUCACGUUUCACCAGGGAGCAGGCAAGAGGAAGGCAAUUGAGGAUGGACCAUGGAUGUUUGAGAAGGAUCUCGUAGUGGUGGAGGAUUUCGACCCAAGUAAGAGGCUGGAGGACUACGAAUUCAAUAAUAUACCUAUAUGGGUUAGAGUCUAUGGCCUCCCUCUGGGGAUGAUGAACGGAGACUCGGCUGAG